GCGGUGAGGACGCCAGGACAGUGGUGCAAGGCACUACGACGGUGGCAGAUCUCUCCAUAGAUUGGUGUGGUGUAACACAGCUGAAGGCCUCCUGUGUUCUGCCCAGAGCCUUCACGACUCUUUUGUAAAUGCCGGGAACUCCUCAUCAGUGUUUGUACAACUCACCAUUCCUGCCUCCUGCUCCUCAUAAACAUGGAUAAUAACAGUUCUCUCUUGUGCUGGCACAGGCAGCCAUGCAGCCUAUAUGAACUUAGCUCACGAUAAAAAGAGAAACCUACCCCAGCAGCAAGCCCCAAGUAUAGAUGGAGCAGACAAACUCUGACUAAGGCUAGAAGGAAAGUGACCACAAGCAGCAGUAAAGUCAACCUACACAUUACCACUGGCUGCAAGCAGAAAUGGGAUGGUUCUCAGAAGAAAACUUCUGUGAAGACAUCUUUAGUUAGUGCAAGGAAACCACGUUUUCUCACUGAAGUUUUUGCAGACUUGCACGAAUAUUGAUUCCUAGAAUAACUGAGGUUAAAAGGAAUCUCUGGAUAACUCUGGUCUCAUUGCUCUCUCAAAGCAGGUCAAUUACAUCAGGUUGCUCAGGGUCUUACCCAGCAAACAAGUCCCAGAGUGAAACUGGAGACCAAGUUCCCUUUUUUCCCCCAUAGGAUUGAGCAUGUUUUCCUCAUAUGAAUUCACUCUGCAAAUCAAAAGAACCACUCCAGUUCAGAACUUCACAAAUAUGCAAAAUAAUUCACACAGGAAUAUUAAUACUAAACCACCUUUAUGGAAGAUGCUGAAUUUUGUGAUGGUUGUGGUAUUUUUUUCCUAAGAAGGUGCAAAAAUCUCAUCAACCUACAUUGUUGCUUCAGACGUUCUGCAGAGCAGUAUGACAAAGUGCUCAUGUGCUGAGUGUUUACAGAUUUGAAGCUUGGGGUCGAGCACGGCAUGAAGCUGUGCCAGGGUUGGUUUAUGUUGGAUGCUAGGGAAAGGUUCUUCACCCAGAGGGUGGUUGGGCACUGGAACAGGCUCCCCAGGGAAGCAGUCACAGCACCAAGCCUGCCAGAGUUCAAGAAGCGUUUGGACAAUGCUCUCAGGCACAAGGUGUGACUCUUGGGGUUGCCAUAUGCAGGGCCAGGAGCUGGACUCGAUGAUCCUUGUACUCCAGCCCAGGAGAUUCUAGAUUACAUGUGCCAAUCCCUCCUCAGUGGUGAGCGUGGAAUCCUGUACCAAAAUUACUGUAGACUUUCCUAGUGUCAAUACGGAUUUCUAGCCAUUUUCUUGUCACAGCUCAUCAUUAUCACCCUGAAGCUUUCUUUCUCUGGGUUUCACUACUGGUAGCACUAUGAAAUACUCGUUCUGUGCAAAGAAAGAUACAAAAUUUACACAGUGAUGUGUACAGCAACAACACGCCUGCCUGGUGUGAGAGAGGAGGCCUUGAGAAGGGAGUAAACAGGAUACAGUGUGGAGGGGUAUGGGCAUGGAAUGAUAAGAGCUCAGAGACAAAGGCUCAUUCUGAAGGUCCCAGCCCACCAAUGACCUGUUAAAGAAACACAGACCUGGAGGUAGGCAAAACUCUUUGUAGGAGUAGCCAAGUGAAAAGAGGACAAGUAUUCCAUAUACAUGAAACAAGUAAACUCAGAUUUAGUACGGAGUUGCAGACCAGCGAGGAAAAAGCAAGGUGUGAAAGCAUUAGAGAAAACAUGCGGGGCAAGAAGGAGGGAGAUUAGGAGAGAGAAAUCAGCACAGUAAAGGAAUUUGAAUGCUGAUGAUUUACUCUGUCAAUUCCCCUCCAGCUAAGUGGAAACCAUCAGCACUAGGACCCAGAAGAGCAGCAGAGAACAAGUGUAACACCAGGAAAAAGGAAGGAAGCUAAGAACUGUGUGUUCAACAUUUUAAGCUUUAUUAUUCUGGAGAAUUCUCUCCUUAUAGCAUUCUUAUUUUUGUUUUUGUAUAGUAAUAAUUGCUCCUGGACUGAUAAUGAUUUUUUUAAUUAGCUUAUUAAGAUUUCAUUUAUACUAUUCAUAAAUCCUUAUCUUUACAUGUAAGGUGCAUUUACUUUUUUCACAUAAGAUUUUGAGCAUAGUAUGGCUUAGGUGUGGCUGCCGAACAGAAUUUAACACAUUCUGCCUGGAGUCAUCUGUUGGUGACCUCAACUAUGUGGCAAGGAAAAGCCAUGUUGAGACUCCCUGUGCACUCCCUGGAAAUCCAAAAAAAACCUUCUUAGAUACAGGGAGCAGAUCUUCAGUCUGUUGAUGGCUGACAAAUGCAACUCUGAAUUGCCUGCUGUGACAACUCAGGAGGUAAUUUUACACUAGCUCAAAAUUAUAGCAAUAACCCCUCACAUGAUUCUGCCUGAUUUCCACUAUUAUAGCUUUUUUCCUGUAAAGCCUUAGGAAGGAAGACUUCCUGGAACACAUAAGGUACAAAUCAGAAUCACAGAAUCACAGAAUAUGCAGAGUUGGAAGGGACCCACACGGAUCAUCGAGUCCAGCCCUUAGCCCUGCACCAGACAACCCCAAGAGUCACACCAUGUGCCUGAGGGUAUCAUCCAAAUGCUUCUUGAACUCUGCCAGGCUUGGUGCUGCGACCACUGCUCUGGGAAGCCUGUAAAUACAUAUCUGUAUAUUUCUUUUUGGUACUGGCUCUGUCUACCAGAGUUUCCUCAGUUCUCCAUGGAGUUGACAGUAAAUUCUGGAUUCUGUUUUCCAGGUACUACAUGUUAGUGCAUGAAUUUUUGAAGCACUGUGCAGAGAUUUAGUGCUUUGAUUUCCAUUAAAAUUAAUGGUUGUUUUGUGGCUAAAUCACUGCAUGAGAAAUACCCCCAAAAAUGAAAAUAUGUCUGUGAUCCUAAAUAUUCCAUUUAUUAAUUUUUAUAAAAUGUAUUUAUACACAGCUAGAAAAAGACUGAGGGUCACUGUUUCUUUUAGGGGUUACAAGUAGUACAGAGAGGCUUUUAAUACUUGUGGUCUGUCUUAAUGGCAUCUGUUUCUGUGGAAUAUCUAAAUAAAGUUAGUCUUUAUGGUG